UGAAGCUCAAAGUCCGAGUUCCAUUGGGGUUCAGCUUCUGUCAUCAGUCAGACUAUUCCUGUUUAGAAGAGCAUUUUCUAAACCACCAUAUUGUAAGGAAGCACAGCAGUACUUGGAGAAGUCCAUGUGGAGGAGGACUGAGUCCCCUGAACAACAGCCAAGCUAAGCUUCCAUUCAGCAGCCAGCACCAAUUGUUACCUGUGUGAGUGAGGCCACUUUGGACCUUCCAGCUGUCCCAGGGGGAAGACUGGCACAAUUGAGACCCACUGAAGAUGUUAGGCAAGGACAGUUGCUCAUUUAGAGCUGUGCUCCUGGAAGAUUAAUUUGGCAUCUGUGUGCAAUGUGGAAUGCAAUGGAGGAAUAGUGGCGAUGGGAGAGCAUCUCCAUUGUUAAGGCCAUGUCAAUAGUCCAAAUGAUGACUGAUGAAG